rnacentral:rRNA from 1 species
CCUUAUAGUUUGAUCUUGGCUCAGAUUGAACGCUGGCGGCAGGCCUAACACAUGCAAGUCGAGCGGUAACAGAGAGUAGCUUGCUACUCUGCUGACGAGCGGCGGACGGGUGAGUAAUGCUUGGGAAUAUGCCUUAUGGUGGGGGACAACAGUUGGAAACGACUGCUAAUACCGCAUGAUGUCUACGGACCAAAGUGGGGGACCUUCGGGCCUCACGCCAUAAGAUUAGCCCAAGUGGGAUUAGCUAGUUGGUGAGGUAAUGGCUCACCAAGGCGACGAUCCCUAGCUGGUUUGAGAGGAUGAUCAGCCACACUGGGACUGAGACACGGCCCAGACUCCUACGGGAGGCAGCAGUGGGGAAUAUUGCACAAUGGGCGCAAGCCUGAUGCAGCCAUGCCGCGUGUGUGAAGAAGGCCUUCGGGUUGUAAAGCACUUUCAGUAAGGAGGAAAGGUUAAGUGUUAAUAGCACUUAGCUGUG